rnacentral:rRNA from 1 species
CCUACGGGUGACAGCAGUGAGGAAUAUUCGUCAAUGGGCGGGAGCCUGAACCAGCCAAGCCGCGUGAGGGACGACGGUCCUAUGGAUUGUAAACCUCUUUUUUCGGGGAACAAAGGCGCCCACGGGUGGGCGGAUGAGUUUACCCGAAGAAAAAGCAUCGGCAAAAACCGUGCCAGCAGCCGCGGUAAUACGGGGGAUGCGAGCGUUACCCGGAUUGAUUGGGUUAAAAGGGUAGGUAGGGGGACAGUCAAGUCAGGGGUAAAAAUGCGGUGCUAAACGCCGUACAGCCGUUGAAACUGGCAGUCUUGAGUGGGCAAGAGGUAUGCGGAAUGCGAGGUGUAGCGGUGAAAUGCAUAGAUAUAACGAAGAACACCGGUUGCGAAGGCAGCAAACCGGCGCCCUACUGACGCUGAGGCACGAAAGCGUGGGUAGCGAACAGGAUUAGAUACCCGUGUAGUC